rnacentral:rRNA from 1 species
CUACGGGGUGCUGCAGUGGGGAAUAUUGCACAAUGGGCGCAAGCCUGAUGCAGCCAUGCCGCGUGUAUGAAGAAGGCCUUCGGGUUGUAAAGUACUUUCAGCGGGGAGGAAGGGAGUAAAGUUAAUACCUUUGCUCAUUGACGUUACCCGCAGAAGAAGCACCGGCUAACUCCGUGCCAGCAGCCGUGGUAAUACGGAGGGUGCAAGCGUUAAUCGGAAUUACUGGGCGUAAAGCGCACGCAGGCGGUUUGUUAAGUCAGAUGUGAAAUCCCCGGGCUCAACCUGGGAACUGCAUCUGAUACUGGCAAGCUUGAGUCUCGUAGAGGGGGGUAGAAUUCCAGGUGUAGCGGUGAAAUGCGUAGAGAUCUGGAGGAAUACCGGUGGCGAAGGCGGCCCCCUGGACGAAGACUGACGCUCAGGUGCGAAAGCGUGGGGAGCAACCAGGAUUAAAUACCCCCGUAGUC